GAUGAACGCUGGCGGCGUGCCUAAUACAUGCAAGUCGAGCGAACAGACGAGGAGCUUGCUCCUCUGACGUUAGCGGCGGACGGGUGAGUAACACGUGGAUAACCUACCUAUAAGACUGGGAUAACUUCGGGAAACCGGAGCUCAUACCGGAUAAUAUAUUGAACCGCAUGGUUCAAUAGUGAAAGACGGUUUUGCUGUCACUUAUAGAUGGAUCCGCGCCGCAUUAGCUAGUUGGUAAGGCAACGGCUUACCAAGGAGACGAUGCGUAGCCGACCUGAGAGGGUGAUAGGCCACACUGGAACUGAGACACGGUCCAGACUCCUACGGGAGGCAGCAGUAGGGAAUCUGCCGCAAUGGGCGAAAGCCUGACGGAGCAACGCCGCGUGAGUGAUGAAGGUCUUCGGAUCGUAAAACUCUGUUAUUAGGGAAGAACAAAUGUGUAAGUAACUAUGCACGUCUUGACGGUACCUAAGCAGAAAGCCACGGCUAACUACGU
rnacentral:rRNA from 1 species